GACGAACGCUGGCGGCGUGCUUAACACAUGCAAGUCGAACGGAAAGGCCUCUUUCGGGGGGUACUCGAGAGGCGAACGGGUGAGUAACACGUGAGUAACCUGCCCUUGACUUUGGGAUAACUUCGGGAGACACGGGCUCAUACCCGGUAGGCGCUCCUGCUGCGUGGUGGGGGUUGGAGAGUUUCGGCGGGUUGGGGUGGACUCGCGGCGUAUCAGCGUGUUGGUGGGGUAGUGGCUUACCAAGGCUUUGACGGGUAGCCGGCCUGGGAGGGGGACCGGGCAAAUUGGGGCCUGGGUACGGCCCAGACUCCUACGGGGGGGAGCAGUGGGGAAUAAUUCACAAUGGGGGGAAGCCCGAUGCAGGAACGCCGGGGUCGGGAUGACGGGCCUCGGGGUGGAAACCGCCUUCGCGCAGGACGAAGCUGUGUGUGACGGUAGUGGGUAAAGAAGCACCGGCUAACUACGUG
rnacentral:rRNA from 1 species